CGGGGGCCCGCACAAGCGGUGGAGCAUGUGGUUUAAUUCGAUGCAACGCGAAGAACCUUACCUACUCUUGACAUCCAGAGAACUUUCCAGAGAUGGAUUGGUGCCUUCGGGAACUCUGAGACAGGUGCUGCAUGGCUGUCGUCAGCUCGUGUUGUGAAAUGUUGGGUUAAGUCCCGCAACGAGCGCAACCCUUAUCCUUUGUUGCCAGCGGUUAGGCCGGGAACUCAAAGGAGACUGCCAGUGAUAAACUGGAGGAAGGUGGGGAUGACGUCAAGUCAUCAUGGCCCUUACGAGUAGGGCUACACACGUGCUACAAUGGCGCAUACAAAGAGAAGCGACCUCGCGAGAGCAAGCGGACCUCAUAAAGUGCGUCGUAGUCCGGAUUGGAGUCUGCAACUCGACUCCAUGAAGUCGGAAUCGCUAGUAAUCGUAGAUCAGAAUGCUACGGUGAAUACGUUCCCGGGCCUUGUACACACCGCCCGUCACACCAUGGGAGUGGGUUGCAAAAGAAGUAGGUAGCUUAACCUUCGGGAGGGCGCUUACCACUUUGUGAUUCAUGACUGGGGUGAAGUCGUAACAAGGUAACCGUAGGGGAACCUGCGGUUGGAUCACCUCCUUACCUUAAAGAA
rnacentral:rRNA from 1 species